rnacentral:rRNA from 1 species
GUGGGGAAUUUUGGACAAUGGGCGCAAGCCUGAUCCAGCAAUGCCGCGUGCAGGAAGAAGGCCUUCGGGUUGUAAACUGCUUUUGUACGGAACGAAACGGUCCGGGUUAAUACCCUGGGCUAAUGACGGUACCGUAAGAAUAAGCACCGGCUAACUACGUGCCAGCAGCCGCGGUAAUACGUAGGGUGCAAGCGUUAAUCGGAAUUACUGGGCGUAAAGCGUGCGCAGGCGGUUUUGUAAGACAGGCGUGAAAUCCCCGGGCUCAACCUGGGAACUGCCAUUGUGACUGCAAGGCUAGAGUGCGGCAGAGGGGGAUGGAAUUCCGCGUGUAGCAGUGAAAUGCGUAGAUAUGCGGAGGAACACCGAUGGCGAAGGCAAUCCCCUGGGCCUGCACUGACGCUCAUGCACGAAAGCGUGGGGAGCAAACAGGAUUAGAUACCCUGGUAGUCC